GAUUCCGUAGUGUAGCGGUUAUCACAUUCGCCUCACACGCGAAAGGUCCCCGGUUCGAACCCGCAGGGCGGAAUCA